rnacentral:tRNA from 1 species
GGAGGCGACUGGUGGCCUGGUGGCCCCCGCGGUCUUCAAAACCGUUGGUCCGCUCAACCCGGAUGGUGGGUUCGAUUCCCAUCCGCCUCCGCCA